AGCGAACGCUGGCGGCAGGCUUAACACAUGCAAGUCGAACGAACCCUUCGGGGUUAGUGGCGGACGGGUGAGUAACACGUGGGAACGUGCCUUUUGGUUCGGAACAACACAGGGAAACUUGUGCUAAUACCGGAUGUGCCCUUCGGGGAAAGGAUUAUCGCCAUUAGAGCGGCCCGCCGUCUGAUUAGCUUGUUGGUGAGGUAAAGGCUCACCAAGGCUACGAUCAGUAGCUGGUCUGAGAGGAUGAUCAGCCAC
rnacentral:rRNA from 1 species